AAACUUCACAAUAUAUUAAUCUUCAAACCCUCUUCUCCCCCGUUUUCCCCUAAAUCCAUCUUCUCCACUUCGGGACUCUCUUCUCCGGACUCCGGGAAUCUUUUCUCCACUUCUCCCUCCGUUGCUACUUGUUGGAUUCUCUGGUAUUUAUUUGUUGAAUUGUUGAUCUUGUUUGUUGUUUCUACUAUUCUCCAUGUCUUGACUCUGGAACGUUGGACACAACCCCAGAUUUUCUCUACCUCCAAAGUCCAAAUUAAUUUUUUUUAUGUUCAUUUGGAAUUAAAAAUUAAAAUAGUUUGAUCACAAAUCUAUGAAACCCAAUAACUCUGCUUACAUUUUUUUCCCUUUAAUAUUACGACACAUUAUCAUAUCUAAUCAUCCCUUUUUUACCCAGACUAUAUAAUACCUACGAAAGCAAAUCGAUGUAUAGCAUGAUAUUGGUGAGAUGAAAAUCUUAACGAUUUAUUCUUUUUUUUGGUUCUUAGACAUUUUAUUCGAUUUAAUUUCAUCGCAAUUUCUUUGCAGAUAAUCAUUAUGGUUCUACUUGUGCCCAUAUUGUUUGGAUUUCUUCUAUCUUAUCGCUUAUAAAUCAUUUUAUUUUCUUUAGGUAGUUCUUCCUUUUUUGCCAACUUAUGAUAUUUCUGGAAAUUGAAACCUAAGAAGAUUUGCUUUAUUUAGAAUUCGAUCAUUUGGAUUCAUGAAUGUUAUAUUGAUUAUCCUUCAUCAAUAAUAUGAACCAGUUCUAGACUUUUGGUGUACUAAAUGUACACAAUAAUUACAGUGAAUAUGCUAUUAAUUAUAUGUAUCCUCGUCGUAGGACAUUGAAGUAAUGUAAAAUGUAUUUGAAAUUUUUAUUGUUAAUUAAAUGAAUGUAUUUAUUUUUAAUUUAAAUAUUAAUUAUGGAAUGAAUGUAUUGAUUUUUUAUAAGUUUUUAUAAUCAAUUAUAUGAAUAGGUCAUGCCAAAAUUUGUAUAGGUUUUUUAAUUAGUACAAAA
rnacentral:lncRNA from 1 species